rnacentral:rRNA from 1 species
AUUGAACGCUGGCGGCAUGCCUUACACAUGCAAGUCGAACGGCAGCACGGGAGCAAUCCUGGUGGCGAGUGGCGAACGGGUGAGUAAUAUAUCGGAACGUGCCCAGUCGUGGGGGAUAACGUAGCGAAAGUUACGCUAAUACCGCAUACGAUCUACGGAUGAAAGCGGGGGGACUCGCAAGAGCCUCGCGCGAUUGGAGCGGCCGAUAUCAGAUUAGGUAGUUGGUGGGGUAAAGGGCUCACCAAGCCAACGAUCUGUAGCUGGUCUGAGAGGACGACCAGCCACACUGGAACUGAGACACGGUCCAGACUCCUACGGGAGGCAGCAGUGGGGAAUUUUGGGACAAUGGACGCAAGUCUGAUCCAGCCAUUCCGCGUGCAGGAUGAAGGCCUUCGGUUGUAACUAGCUUUGUUACGGUAACGUAACGGUA